rnacentral:rRNA from 1 species
CGCUGGCGGCGUGCCUAAUACAUGCAAGUCGAACGGUCUUUCUAUGGAAGCUUGCUUCCACUGAGAAGAUAGUGGCGAACGGGUGAGUAACACGUGGGUAACCUGCCCAUAAGAGGGGGAUAACAUCCGGAAACGGGUGCUAAUACCGCAUAGUUUUCUUGAUCGCAUGAUUGAGAAAGGAAAGACGGCCUUUGUGCUGUCGCUUAUGGAUGGACCCGCGGCGUAUUAGUUAGUUGGUGAGGUAACGGCUCACCAAGACGAUGAUACGUAGCCGACCUGAGAGGGUGAUCGGCCACAUUGGGACUGAGACACGGCCCAAACUCCUACGGGAGGCAGCAGUAGGGAAUCUUCCGCAAUGGACGAAAGUCUGACGGAGCAACGCCGCGUGAGUGAAGAAAAGGUUUUCGGAUCGUAAAACUCUGUUGUCAGAGAAGAACAAGUUGGAGAGUAACUGCUCCAGCCUUGACGGUAUCUGACCAGAAAGCCACGGCUAACUACGUGCCAGCCGCAGC